UGGGAGUGUCUGAAGACGGCAGUGGGCAUUGCAGCUCCGUUAUGUGGGUUACGCUAAACCAUUUUCUGCUCUUCACACAGUUCGUUCCUUUGUGGACGCCUGAUGUCUCCGACAAGCUACACCUUUGGAACACAUCGACGACUGGAACGCCAACCCAUCCAACGCCGUCGUAUGCGCCGCUGAGCAUCCCAUUUGGUGGAACCACGUCGCCGACUCAGGCAACAAUGGAUUUGUUUACCCUCCGCCUUCCUCUUAAAAGCGCGGGAGUGUCUGAAGACGGCAGUGGGCAUUGCAGCUCCGUUAUGUGGGUUACGCUAAACCAUUUUCUGCUCUUCACACAGGUUCCCCUCACAGUCGCUCAGCUGUGCCGAAGAACCGGAUGCAGAACCUACGCCAAUUUGUUCCACUGUUCUUUUAAUCUGUGAGGUACCGUGGAAGUAAAUAAACUGCUGUGUUAACCU